UACGUAGGGGGCAAGCGUUGUCCGGAUUUAUUGGGCGUAAAGAGCGUGUAGGCGGCCAUGUAGGUCCGUUGUGAAAACUCGAGGCUCAACCUCGAGACGCCGAUGGAAACCAUGUGGCUAGAGUCCGGAAGAGGAGAGUGGAAUUCCUGGUGUAGCGGUGGAAUGCGCAGAUAUCAGGAAGAACACCCGUGGCUAAGGCGGCUCUCUAGUACGGUACUGACGCUGAGACGCGAAAGCGUGGGGAGCGAACAGG
rnacentral:rRNA from 1 species